GGCUUGGGCUGACAGCUAACACGUGCAGUCGAGCGGUAGCACAGAGAGCUUGCUCUCGGGUGACGAGCGGCGGACGGGUGAGUAAUGUCUGGGAAACUGCCUGAUGGAGGGGGAUAACUACUGGAAACGGUAGCUAAUACCGCAUAAUGUCGCAAGACCAAAGUGGGGGACCUUCGGGCCUCAUGCCAUCAGAUGUGCCCAGAUGGGAUUAGCUAGUAGGUGGGGUAACGGCUCACCUAGGCGACGAUCCCUAGCUGGUCUGAGAGGAUGACCAGCCACACUGGAACUGAGACACGGUCCAGACUCCUACGGGAGGCAGCAGUGGGGAAUAUUGCACAAUGGGCGCAAGCCUGAUGCAGCCAUGCCGCGUGUGUGAAGAAGGCCUUCGGGUUGUAAAGCACUUUCAGCGGGGAGGAAGGCGAUAAGGUUAAUAACCUUGUCGAUUGACGUUACCCGCAGAAGAAGCACCGGCUAACUCCGUGCCAGCAGCCGCGGUAAUACGGAGGGUGCAAGCGUUAAUCGGAAUUACUGGGCGUAAAGCGCACGCAGGCGGUCUGUCAAGUCGGAUGUGAAAUCCCCGGGCUCAACCUGGGAACUGCAUUCGAAACUGGCAGGCUAGAGUCUUGUAGAGGGGGGUAGAAUUCCAGGUGUAGCGGUGAAAUGCGUAGAGAUCUGGAGGAAUACCGGUGGCGAAGGCGGCCCCCUGGACAAAGACUGACGCUCAGGUGCGAAAGCGUGGGGAGCAAACAGGAUUAGAUACCCUGGUAGUCCACGCCGUAAACGAUGUCGAUUUGGAGGUUGUGCCCUUGAGGCGUGGCUUCCGGAGCUAACGCGUUAAAUCGACCGCCUGGGGAGUACGGCCGCAAGGUUAAAACUCAAAUGAAUUGACGGGGGGCCCGCACAAGCGGUGGAGCAUGUGGUUUAAUUCGAUGCAACGCGAAGAACCUUACCUGGUCUUGACAUCCACAGAACUUAGCAGAGAUGCUUUGGGUGCCUUUCGGGAACUGUGAGACAGGUGCUGCAUGGCUGUCGUCAGCUCGUGUUGUGAAAUGUUGGGUUAAGUUCCCGCAACGAGCGCAACCCUUAUCCUUUGUGCCAGCGGAUCAGGCCGGGACUCAAGGGAAGACUGCCAAGUGAUUACUGGAGAAGGUGGGGAUGACGGUCAGGUCAUCAUGGCCCUACGGACCAGGCUUACCACGUGCUACAUUGCGUAGAUCAAGGAGAAAGCGGAACCCUCGCCGAGAGUAGCCAGCCCGCUGAAC
rnacentral:rRNA from 1 species